rnacentral:rRNA from 1 species
GGAAUCUUCCGCAAUGGACGAAAGUCUGACGGAGCAACGCCGCGUGAGUGAUGAAGGUUUUCGGAUCGUAAAACUCUGUUGUUAGGGAAGAACAAGUACAAGAGUAACUGCUUGCACCUUGACGGUACCUAACCAGAAAGCCACGGCUAACUACGUGCCAGCAGCCGCGGUAAUACGUAGGUGGCAAGCGUUGUCCGGAAUUAUUGGGCGUAAAGCGCGCGCAGGCGGUCCUUUAAGUCUGAUGUGAAAGCCCACGGCUCAACCGUGGAGGGCCAUUGGAAACUGGGAGACUUGAGUGCAGAAGAGGAGAGUGGAAUUCCACGUGUAGCGGUGAAAUGCGUAGAGAUGUGGAGGAACACCAGUGGCGAAGGCGACUCUCUGGUCUGUAACUGACGCUGAGGCGCGAAAGCGUGGGGAGCAA